GUUCGCCUAGCUCAGCUGGAUAGAGCAACGGCCUUCUAAGCCGUCGGUCAGGGGUUCGAAUCCCUUGGCGAACGCCA
rnacentral:tRNA from 1 species